rnacentral:sRNA from 1 species
CACCUGAAAUGUUCUAACAGGUCGGUUUUUACGAGCU